rnacentral:tRNA from 2 species
AGGAGUGUAGUUUACUUGGUUUAAAAUAAGGAUCUCCAAAAUCCUAGUAGUGGGUUCGAAUCCUACCUCUCCUG